ensembl:lncRNA
UUUAGCCAGGGAACCUGUUAAUUUUAAACCAAAAGUGUGCACUUCUGCACAAGCAGAUCUGGACCUCUUUUUGGGCAGAAGCUUUUCUCCUGCUCUUGUCUUGCACAGCUCGGGAAAGAGGAAAGGUUCCCAUUGCUAAGCCAGGUCCAGGCCAGUUUUGACUCUUUAGAUACCAGCAUCAAAUUUUGCAAGGUCUCAUGGAUGAAUAAUAAACCACUGCAUCACUUCCACAUGCUGUGUUCUGUGGUCUUCAGGAGGAAAUGACCCUUAUCCUUUCCCAAACCAACAGUUAACACACCUUUGUUGAUACGUGUCAUACUUCUGAGGCUCAGAGCUCCUAACAGUCCCUGGGGACUGGCUUCUGCACCAGAGACAAAAAGCUGAGCAGAACGCGCAGAGGAAGCCGUACAAAAGUAACCUAUUGCCGUGCUGUUUGGCUGCUCUUGGCUGUCGAUGACAAGUGGACUGGUGGUGUUAGGCAGCUCCCAGGGAGAGGAUCAGAAGUACUCUAUCUAUGACACCUCGUUUAUGGAGCUGUCUGGAGGUCUCAGCUUGGUACCGAGAAGUAUGUGAAUUUAGCAGAACAGAAGCAAAGGAAGAAGAAACUGUCCAAGAGUUGGUGACCAUGUGUGCUGGGAAGGAUGAUGAAAUAACAAAGUAUUCCCAUCAUGAUUUAUGACUGAAGAGAAAUGCUGUCCAGGUGAUGAUCCAGUCCAUUAUCUCGACGGAGGUGCUGACCACUGUAGGGAAGCACAGAGAGCUGAUGUACAACAUGAUGGAGAACAAGCAGAAGAAAGGGGGCUUCCAGGUUACAACUGAAAAAAGCAUAAUUCAUAUGAUUUGCAAUAAUUGGAUGCAAAAGAAAAAAAAAAGAAAAACAGAAAACUUUAUCCUAUUGCUCCUCCCCCGAGCUGCCGGAGCUCAGGGAGCGUUGGGAUACCACUCUUAGAUGUAGGGUGUGGGUUUGGGUGUUCCUAUCUGGAGCUGAGUGUUGGGCUUGGUGAUCCUUGUGGGUCCCUUUCAACUCGGGAUAUUCUACAAUUCUGUAAAGAUUACCCAUGUUAAAUACAUGUUUCAGAGGGUAAAGCUCCCCUGUCUCAAUACCACCCUCGGUUGGUCUAGAAUGCUCUAUUUUUUCCUUCCAGUUUUGUGUUUUACUAUUCAUAAAUCAAGAUUUCUUUCCCCUGCUUGGCACCUUCCCAGUCCUUGCAGAUCAUUAAUACCAAAACAGGGCUGUUAAUCUCUCGGUCCCAAGGUGCAUUACCCCACUUGUAGAUGGAGGGACUGGGAUACAGAUGGGCCUGUGCCCAGAGCCACUGAGCAUGGGGAUGUACCCCAGGGCCACGUUCACUCCCAGAACAGUUCCCCAUGGGGUGCCUGGUGGUCCUGCACUGAUAGCAUCGUGUUUUGAAGUGGUUUGGGGAGUGGACCAUGGGAUAAAGCUGGGCACAGGGUUUUCUGUCUGCAGUGAGCUCUGUGCUCUACAGCAGUUUUGCUGCCUGUUCAGCAGUACGUUUGCAAUAGCAUAUGUCCUUCCCUGAUUGUACUGAACCCUCAUUCCCAUUGCUUGUACUUCUCAUCCUAUUCAACCCUUUCAACUCCAGCAGUAUGUAAAAGAGGCUAGCUUUAUUUUUCAGGUCUCUUCCUAUCAGAGAAGGUCAGGGACAAAGCUUGGCAAUGAAAGGCAAUUUCUCCAAACCAGUGGGCAAGCAGUGUGGUAAGAAUGCUUUUAAACAACAACAACAAAAAAUCCAAUAACUUCCCUAUAAAUUGUCCAAGAGAGAAAACUUUGUGUUUUUGGCAUUUGUAGCUGUUUCAGCAUUUUUCUGUGUAAGAUGAAAAACUUUUGCAUUGAGCAAAACACAGAUUUAUGAUCAAUAAAGUGAAGUUUUAACAGUUUAUAGGAGCCAUACAUUCUUUUUUUUUUUUUUUUUAAACUGAUAUUAAAAACUAUCUUUUCCUCUCAGCCAUGUUAGAAAUCCACCCCAGUGUCAGUCAGGGUUUCAGCACAGCAAACUUUGCAGAGAAAUUGCUGGCUGGGGUUUACUGCAGGACCAGUGGCCACACAAGCCACCCCUCCCUCCCCCUCAUGGGCUUGUGAAAUAAAGCUCCAGUAAGACCUGAGUAUGGAAUUUAGGGUGUGAGCUUGGACUUGCCCAGUGUUUAGAAGCUUUGGGAGCUGGAGGCUUCUGCAGGUCGUUCUCUGGACCAUACAGAUAAUAACUGUCCAACAAGGCUCUGCAGUUCUUACUGUAGCAGGAGCUACAGGCUGAGAGCAAGCAGCUGCCAGAAAAACCUCUGAUUUGCACAAGUGACUUUGGAAUGGCUGGUGGAUAUAUGAACCUUUAUUGGCACAACCUUGGUUGGGCUGUGAGCAGCCAGGGAGUCCCAGGGUAAUUUUAUCUCUCUCAAUUCUUAUGUGCAGGGGCACUGUGCGGUCAAAUCUUCUAGUUCUGGUGUUCCCCCCCUUACCUUUGCCUCACGCCUGGUAGUUGUCUCUGAAGACACUGAUUUCUACACCGACAAGUGUGCCAGUGAUACUAAACAUGCUCAAAACAGAAACAACUCUUUUGUUCCAAACAGGCCACUGCACUGAUUGUUUUAUAACUCCUAUAAGAAAAUCAUGUCAACAGAUCAUCUGAUAAAAGUUAUUUGGCCUUAGAUUUUCUACUAGCUUAGACCUAAGAUGUGAUUUGAGUAUGAAAUUACUGAGUAUAGGACUGUUUUCACUGCCAUUAAGACCAACAAGAAAUCUCCCUUGAUUAGAUUUAUUAUAAGCCAGGGAGCUGAGGAGAGCUUGUAACUCUUCUUUUGUAAUCCCACGGCCCUGGUUAUGCAGUCUCUGGGCUUUCUGCACAUUACAGCACAUGGAACUGCCUGAAUUGUUCUUAUCUCUUCAGCAUGUUCUUCUUUGUUAAGGCCUAUCUCAAUGCAAGAUCUACAGUAAAAAAUAGGAAAGUGUCCAUUACAAGGCAGGGAUUUGGCUUUUUCUCUCCAGAGCACGUGAUGAAGGCAAUAAAUUUGUCAAGGAGAUAAGCUGGACUCAACCCACCGAGAUCAGUGCCAGUCGGGUCCCCUUCAUCCCAUGAUGUGCCAGGAAAUUUAUUACCCGCUGUGAGAUUUAACUGCACAAAUCCCUGGUGAAUUGAUAGGAGAGGAGAACCUUGCUGAGGUUUAUAGGGGGGUCUUAAACCCUUAAAUGUUGGUGGCAGUGGCAUCCCCAUAAAGCCCUGCCAGCGGUAAUUUACAGACGAGGAGAUCGACUGUGUUUCCUCUGUGGAAAAAGGGGUUGAAAUAACUGGGGCUCUCCAAGCUGAGUCGCAGCGCUGGAGAAGGUCCACAGGGUGCCGCAGCUUCUGCAGAGCAUGCAGCUUCCACUUGAUUAAAUAAACCUGGGUCUCAGUAGAUCUGAAAAGUGGUUUUCAGAGAGUUCUGGCUAAGAGCUUGCAAGUUUUUCCAUUUCUUUUGAAGAGAAAUUUGCACUCAGAAAAUGAAAGAAUCUACAAAGUGAUAUUUUCUGAAGCAAACACUGACAUUAUGAGCAACUUAAGCACUUUCAUUGCAUCUCUGCACUAAACUGCGGCUCCCGACCGACAAAACCGUCUCUUGCUAAAAGCAACUGUUAUAAAAUUAUGACUAGCGCAUAUAUAACGUUUGUGUUUAACAAGAUGACAGAAAUGCCACCUUAGUAAAAACUGAUUAUGGUUACAGCUGAACAAUUCACAUCAUGCAAGAUUUAUAAUAUUAAGGUUAUGCAAUCAUCUAAUCGGAGAGACAAGCCUUGAGUAAUAAUAUGAAAUGCAUGUACUUCAAUCUGCAGCAGUAGAUUCAUUGCUGGUUUCUUAUUAGCUCAUGCUAGCAUUAGGGCUGCAUUAUCCAUUUUGCCAUAGUCUAAUUCAGCAUUUCCAUCUGAAAACAUAUGCACAAUAAGUGAUCUAUGCCAAACAAUGAAAUGGAAGCAAAGUCAUUUGAGUGACUUUGUGGCUAUAAAAAUAUACAUAAUCUGUAUGUCUUUUGGCAGUUCUCAAUACUUUGUGCUACAUUUAUUUGCAUGGAAAGUUUUCCCAAAAUAAAUAAAAACAGAUAGAAAUUGCCCUCUUUUCUCUUGAGCAUAAUGUUUUGGGGCUGGAGCAGUGCAAGAAUGCAUCUCACCCGCUUCUCAUCCGGCAGGUAUGAGUCAGGUGUUCUUAUUAGAUGAUGAUUAGUGUUAUACAAGCUAUCUAGAAGUCACAGUAACUUAAGAUGGCAUAGAGUGACUUAAAGUGUGCAUCUUUCAAUAUUGCUGAUUUUUAAAAUCAAAGAGAAUUUCAGUAUAUGUAUGUCAAGAAACAUAUCGGUUAAUUAUUGUACAGAGAAGUCAUAGUGUAACUUCUGGUUAAAAAUAUGCGAUUUCAGGGGCUGAGAAGUUCAAGCAUUGCUUUUCAAAGGCACAUGUUACAAAAGAUGACAAGUGUUUAUAAUGUAAUGAUCAAACUAAUUGACCGAGAGUCAGAUUAAAACAAGACUUUUCAUGCAAAGUGCAGACUGAACUUUCCCCUUAACUGCUCACAGUGGGCUGAGUCCAUUUUCUGCAGCCUGUGCAGGCUUAGGUCCUGCAAGACACGGGUGCCUUGGGGCAUCAUGCGGCACUGGGAGGACUAAGGACCUUGCAGGACUGAAACCUGCAAGUAACAAGCUGUUUGGGUGCUGCUGUGUGGGUGGAUACAUCAGGCUUUUGCAACAAUCACAAUUCUCAGGGAAAGAAAAAAAAAAGUGCUUCAAAGGUAAACAGAAGGCAUUUGUGUCCUGGAGUCUGAUUUAUUAUGGGAACUAUACAUAGCUGUCAUUAAAUGAACAGGCUAACAUGCAACUAUUCAUCACGGUGGGAAAUAUACAGGCCAUUCUCUGCUUGCCUGGAAUCGUUCAUAUUUUUGAAAACUAAAAACAGAGUCCAGGAGAGGAAUGAAUGCAUAAAAUGCCAUGAGAUAUUUGAUUUAUUCUUUUCAGGCAUUACCUCUCUAUGUUCUCUGUGCCCAAGAGUAUUAUUCAAAUCAAUCGAUCUCAGAAACUGUUUCUAGCAAUCUCCUGCUUCCCCCAAAACUCCCUGCUCAAGACCUUUAUCUUCCUCCUUCUGUUGUUAUUGUCAUUACAAUAGACUCAAACGGGUCUGUAAUUUUUGUUUGACUUUGAAGCCGCAUUUUGAUCCAAAGAUAUCUAUUCAUCUUCACAUUUGUAAUACCAGCAUUCCACCUACCAGCCUGCACGAGGCAAGCUGCAAUAUCCUUCAGAGCUCAGCUAAAACAAUUCUCAGCUUGCUGCUUAGCUACAGGCAGAACAGCAAACAGCAGCAAUGCUGCCUGCUCCAAACAGCUCUCUGGGUGCUGAUUCACAGGUGACUAUCAACAUUGAUAUAUACAUAUUUUUUCCUUAGUAACUACUAAUUGCUGAAGAAAUUCAGGUUUAUUUUUAAUGAAUGAGUAAAAAGAAUUUGAAACUACUUGUGGCUACAAAGAGGCAUAAUUGUCACAAACUAGAAAAAAUUACUAAUACAGCCUAAACAUUGCAAUCAGAAUGGCUGCUUCAACACAUAAUUAAACUUUAGUUAAAUCACAUCUUUCAUAGCAAGGCACCUUUACCACAGACAAGUGCCCUUUCCCACCUAAAUAUGGAAUUGCUUUCAGCUGAAAUUGAAGAAAAUUCUUUUGAUUUCUGGUGAAAAGAAAUAACCCAAGAAGGGCCAUGAAUGCCUCCUGAGCACAGAACAAACCUUUGGCUAGGAAGCAAACAGAAAUCUCCCCCACAGAAGGGCUGAAGGAGCAGGGUUGUGUGACCCUAAUGACACACAGGUGCUUCUCAUCACACCUGCUGACACACCUGCUGGGCGGCCUGUUCCAAACCAACUGCCCUCUGGGGCAGAACCUUUCCCUAACCCCCCUGAGCCUUCUGGAUACAGCUCCAUGCUGUUCCCUCAGGCCCUCUUGCUGUCCCCAGAGAGCAGAGCUCAGAGCCCUUUUGCCCUUCUGCUCUCUGUGAGGAGCUGCAGGUCACCAUGGUGGAGCUGCAGGCCUCCAUGAUAGAGCUGCAGGCCGCCAUGAGGCCUCCCCUCAGCCUCCCCUGCUCUGGGCCUAACAAACCCAGCACCCUCUGCUGCCUCUCACGUUGCUCAUCCCCUGCAGAAGUUUGUGGUGGAACAGACUUGGCCACCUGUGGCUCUGUGGGCAGACUUAGGGCCUUUCCUGAUGCUUCACAGACACUUUACAAAGUACAUAAAUACACAACAAAACUGUGAGCCAGUUAGUGCUGAAUGUGUACCAAGUAAUCACAAUCACAAGUAAUCUGUUUUCAUAAACAGAGCUGGUAGGUUUUAAAAAAUACUACCAUGUCUGUGACCUUUUCUUAAUUUUGUUAGGUGCUAUUUGAAAUUCUGGUCUUUCUAUUUAUGUUUGGAGUUUAAUUAGAACCAGUCACUUUCCUGCAGCUACCUGCUUGUAGGCAUGCCUGGGUUUAUACUUAAUUGUGGUGCUUUUGCACAGUUUCUCUUUUUUUCCUCAGGAACUGCUGCACAGAACUUCUUUCACAUGUGCAGACUAAUGAUGACAGCCUGCAUGUGCAUGAAUAGCAUGCUCUGGUAACAAAUCAGGAACAUGGAGAGGGAUUUUAAACUGCUUUGGGGGUGGUAACAUAGCUGUUUUCAGUUUAAGAUCUGUUUUCCUCUUCUUCCGCAGCCAUCACUUCAUUUCAUGAGAGGAGGUGCCAUGGAAAGCUCUCGACUCACUGUACAAAGAGAAUUAUCCCCUCUGAGCUCCCUUUUUAAUUCUUUCAAAGUAGACAAAGCAGAAAAGACCUGACAGAAGCGGUAUGAACAAUAAGCUGUGUUUUCCAGAAUGGAUGGUGACAAGCAGGAAGUUUUAAGCUGGGGUGAGAGCUAGGGGCAGAGAGAAGGCAGUUAUAGAAAGUUGCUGAACAGAAGUUGUUGUAUGGAGUCUUUAAGAGGUGAGAGAAAGAAAUGGAGAAGUAAAUACUGGUUCCUGAGAUGGUGGGUCCAGUGGUUGGGGAUACCAAGGAACUGAAUGGCAGUCUAGCAGACUUGCAUCCAUGUUUUCCGUAUUUGAGGGAGGCAUUUGAUGUGCAGGAAAAUAUUUAAGUGAAAAUGUAGGAUACUUUUGAUUCAAGUGUUCACUGAACUCUGUGGAACAUGCAAUUAGACUGAUGCUCUGAAAAUUGACUAAGUAUCCUGCUUGCUUUCCCACUUUCUUCGCUAACAGUAGAGUUCCAGGUGACAGUGCUUUUUGUGGCAAAAGUAUCUUAAAUUCUCACUGUCUGCUUGUUCCCUGCUCUUAGAUUGCCUCUCAUUUCAUCUGACAAGGCUAAAUAUAACUCCCCUCCACCCAUAAAAAGCAAGAGGCAGAGGUUUGCAAGAUUUGCCGAAGGGGCAAAACUUCAGGAUCUGGCUCCUCCACCAGAGGCAGCACGGCUCUAACCUGCAGUCUCUUCACUUCAUCCCAGUGCCAGACUUCCCAAAUGCACCUGAGUUGCCUUUGGAGUUGGUCUGCUGUUCAUUGCCUGUAACACUGCCCUUCCUUUGAAUUUACAAGGCAGGGGAGAACAUGGAGCCAAGUUCAGGAGCUGGUGAUUUCAUUUACGUAUCAGAGGCCAAAAGAAGCAAAUAAAAACUGCCACACAAAAUGAACAGGAGUUGAGACUGGCUAAACACCUUCCUGCAAAAUGGAUUUUAAAAGUGACUCUUGAACUCUUCAGUGGAAAGACAGAUUCAUUUUCAAUGGAGUUUGAUCUUGCUCUUCAGCUUCAUUUGUAAGACCAAUUACAGAGCAUUUUCUACAACAAUUACAGGCAUUAAAACCACUCUGUUCCAUUUGAUGAAUUUUAAUAGUAAUUGAACAGAAGAACCCAUCAACUGAGAGAUUGUCCAAUCAAGUAUGCCCACACAUUGAACUGUAAUUUCUAUUCCACAAAUGUGUAAUGCCAUUUGAAACUACCAAAAUGUCCUCUCCUCACCAAUAACCGAGCAGAUUCUCAAGGAUUUGUUCCUAAACAACUUUAUUCCUUGAGGUUUUAAGUACACAGAAAGCAUGUUGACCAUGCUUCUCCGGUGUACAUGCUUCUACCUGUGUACAGCUCCCCUGCAGAGCUCCUUCGAGCUCAUUUUUGGACAGGGCAUUUGUAGAGUUCUGGCGACCACAAACAUUGACCAGGCGGAAUCAUCUAGCACCUUUUGAUCCUCCUUGUGCAGAAAGGCAGUUUUGGAGGAUUCCCUUCAAGGAACUUCAUAAGUCACAGUAGGAGCUGGUUGGAUUUUUAAUGUUAUUGUAGAAAACAGAGUCCAUCGCUUGAACUCUGGCUUUGGAAUUUGCAAUUGGAUUCAGUUCAGUGUUUUAUCAAGAAACAGUGUGCAGAAUGGUGGAAGGAAGAAACACAGGCCUGAAAUAGAUUAUUUGGUAAUGAAGAUAAGCCCCUCAUAGCUACAGAAAAAUAGAUGUUUGGUCCAGGAUUGUCCAGAUAUUUGCCUUCCACGUGGUCUCCACAGGCCAUGAGCCCUAAAGAGACUAUGAUUUGUGUUGUGAGUCCAAAAGCCACAAAUGCAACGCAGUAUGGCAGAGCUAAGAAGAGAUCAAAGACUCACCAAUGCCCUGGGACUCUGAAGGAUGCUAAUGUAUUUCUUAAUCUCUAUGCAUGAAUGUUUUGUUGUUAUUUUUUUCCUACUAGACUUGCUCUUUGUUUUUGAGGUUGGCCUUUGUGGUACAGAAAAUUCCUUGAGGGAAGUUGCUUCAUUGGAUUUGCUAGAAAACAGUAGAACAAAAGAACUAUUUUGAUGAACUUCUCUCAACGUGAUUUCCAAGCUAGCUUGGGAAACAAAAUGAGAUUACUACAGUUUAGAUCAGUGGGAGAGAAAUGUCCAACUGUCAGAGCGUUCCUUUGAAGUGGGUUUCCCCUUGCCAGUGGUCGCUACAAAUUUAAGUUCAAUUUAAAGACCAAAGAUGAAGUCUUGGCUUUACUGAAGUCAAUAAGAGUUUUGUCACUGACAACUUGGAGGCCAGGAUUUCAUCUGAGUUGUUUGUACAGGCACUAACUUUAGCAUCUGCUGAGAGCUACAUGAAAUAUUUAUGCUGAAGAGCGAAACUGUAGUGUUAUCUUGCAGCUCAUUCUCAGCACAAAAAUGACACUGGAUCAGUGAAAAAUCACCAGACUUCUCUGUAAAAUGCAUAGUCUCAGUUGAGAAAUACCUCAUACAAGUGUGAGUAAAUUAUGAGCUAUAAUGUGUGAUAUAAAAGUAAUUACUGUAAAUGCUCUUCCUGGGAUAUGUAUAAUUUUUUCCUUUUUGUUUUGGCUUAGAACAGUGAAAAAAAGGAACAGCAGAGGUUUUCCCACAAAUUUAAAGUUCUAGCUCCUCUCCAACUAAAAUCUUGAACCAGAGUUCCUCCUAUUUAAAAAUGUCUGCAAAUCUUUGCCUUCAAAAGUUUAACAAUGCAGCUUCUAGUGAAGAUCAUAGAAUCAUAGAAUCUUUUGAAGGUUAUGUAUUUCUGUACAUAUGCCAAAUAUGACUGCUAGAGCUCUUAUAGGCAAACAGACACAACAUCUUAGAGCACAAAAAGCACCAUUUGCAGAGGAAAGAAAGAUUUCUUUUCUGCAAAGAAAUGGCAUAGUUAAUGUUCAUGCAACAUCUCUGCAUACCUGGCAUCUUUAUGGACUGGCACAAUCAUGCAUAACUCUGUGAGGGUCUGGCUCCCACUGUGCUAGGCAAGUGAUAGUUUUUUCCCAUGGUGAAGGAAGAAACUUAAAGCAUCAUGGAGCUAUGUGUUACCUGUCUGCAGCCCUGAGAGCAGGGAAUACCUUGGGAAAGCUCUCCGGAGAAGCGAGCCUCAAAAGUGUCUUCCAACACACUCAAUAUUGUGAAAUGCAGACAGGAAAGGUCUUGACUCAAGCUUCUGGGAUGUGGACAAACACAAAUCUAGCAUAAAUCCUUUUUUAUUUUUUAUUUUUUUCCCCAGGUUGCUGAGGCUUCUUUACAAUGUCUUUUGCUCCCAGAUUCAGACAAGGUCCAAACAGGAUGGACUUCCUCUAAGCCCUUCCCACUGCAGGGAAGCACGUAUGCUGCAGGCUUGGAAAUGAGAGCAAGCAAUAAAACAAACAAAGCCCAGGUUUGUAUAUGUGGGAAGGAAUGCAUCAGCAAGCCACUCAAUAUUCUGGGCCUUGAACAGACAUUUUCUGAGUAUAGAACACUAGAACCAAACUGUGGGUUAAAAAGGUGACAGUUGUCGGCUUCACACCACAUCAUUUUCUGGCAGGGGCUGUGGUGUGUGCUGUAGCCAUCAAGAGUGCUCCACUGCUUCAUUUUGUGCUUAACUACUGCAGGUCUGCUGCAAGGUGAUGCCAUUUUGUGGGACUGCUACAUAACCUGGCAGUGAAGUCUCCAGGGGUGCAAUUGUGUGCUGAUGGGGGCUCUUCCAGAGGGUGAUUCAGAGCAGAAAUCACUGGACACGAUGGAGGAAAUCUGGACAGUUGGAUGCCCUGUGUUGGAUGCUUUGUCAUUAGUCUAAAGACAGGUUCUCUUUCAGGCUCCAUUUUAUCUCAAUAUGCAGUGGAAAAUUAUACAUCUCACAGUUCAUUUUCUUGCAGCUUUCUGCCACCUGUCACCUGUGAAAUGGUUAGAUGGUUAAACGUGGGCUCUUCUGAGCAGUUUGAUGCAUAAUGUAAGGAGAAAGUGAUAGGUAGCAUCGAUGCACAAGCAUAUAACAUCAUCGAGGGGUUUUGAUGAUGUCAUAAACCGUAAAGGCAGAGAUUGGCUAUGAUAUCAUCACCAGGCCAAUGUGGUUCUUUGGGGUUUUUAGAAGAAGAAAUUUAUUAGAUGAAUAGGUGCAUCUGAUGUUUUAAGGGCAUUUUUUACCCCCAGUCCCUCCUCUUGUUUCUGAUAGAUGAUGCUGCUGUUGCACCUACGAGUUAGAAAAUGAUAGCUGUUCUUAUCAGCAAUGGAUUUGUUCUUUGGAACACAUGUUAUAUGUGGAAUGGAAAGUUGCUAAAGUAUUGUGAGAUUGGCUAAGAAGAGAGAAAUGCACCAGAGGAGGGAUCUCUGAGAAUUGCAGAACAUGUUCAUGCUGAUCUGUUAAUUAGCAUUAAACAACAGUGUAGGAAUGCAGACAGGUAGACAAGGUAGCAAAACUGCAUGAGAUGGAAUAAACAAAUCAAAGAGAUCUAAACCCUCUGAUUUCUGCUCUCUGUGACAGGAACAACUCCUUCCUACAACACUGGGAGAAAAUCUGAUAAUCACAGAUAUUCAGCUCUGAAUAUUUUAUCCCUGUCAUUGAAGUCUCUGUUAUUGCCCACUCUGGGAAGAAAGAUACUCAUCUAGAGAAAAAAGAUCCCUAGAAAAUCAUGUUAAAGUGAUGUUAUCACCGGUAUUAGCUAAAAGUGUCAACUCUUGUUCCUCCCUCCAUCCAUAGACUUCAUUCUUUCAGCCACGGUUACCUUUCUGCGGACUGGAGGAAGUCCAGCCCCACAGCAGGACUUCUCAGAGCUCAGAGGCGUCUCAAUGAGAUGAGUGAUGUCUGCCCAUGUACCCCACAAGCAUCUCUGCCAGAUAGUUUUUUUUGUUUUGUUUUGUUUUGUUUUUCCUAAACUCUCACUCUCAUCUGUUUUCAAGAUUUGUUUACCCUUUAUUUUUCUUUGUUAUCCCUCCCCUUUAGAGGCCUUUAGCUUAAAAACAGUGUGAAAACCAAAUUAAUGCAAGUAUUCUAAUUUUUGUGACUACCAGAAUCAAGCAAACUGGAAAAUGUGCUGUCUUGAGGGUAAAAGAGAGGUGCAAAAACUCUUUAACAGAGACAACUGGUUAAUUAGCAGAUGUGAAACCAACGUAAAAAAACCAGAACCUAGAAAACAAAUGAAAAUCUCUAUAGCAAUUAUUUCCAGAAAGGUAACAUUUUCCCAAUUAAAGCCAUUCUGAGAACUUUAGCUAAUUAUGUAGGUAUUCUCUCUCUCCUUCCCUUUCUUUCUCUCUCUCUCUUUUAUUAAAGUCCAUCAGGGCUCAUGAUGUGUGGGAAAAGUGCUAACAUUUGCAAAUUGCUGGUUUAUGAUAAAUGAAUUGUGGAAACUCAGCCCCUUGGUUGGGGCCCAGCUAGAUUGCAAAGCACCAGCAUCUCCGGCUGCUGCAGCCCUGACCCUGCCUUUACACCCAUUGAUCACAACUGGUGCAUAGCCAUGACCACCAAAUGCAUACAUUGUAGCUGGGGGACUUGCUUUUCCCAUAGUAUUUCAUCAUCGUUCCACAUCGCAAGCACCAUAGUAACCUUUGGCAUGCCGUCCUGUAAGACUAAUACCUGCAGGAGAUUUCCUCCUGCCCCAAUAAUCACUGCUUCAACUGCUCCAUCUUUAAAAAACCCUUAGUCAUUAACCCAGCUUUGAUUUUCAAAAAAUUCCCGUUUAUUUCAAUAGCGCCAGGAGGGGAAGUAAGGGGUGAGCACGUUGGAAAAGCAAAAUCCCUAAAGAGAGAAAAGUACACUGAAGGAUACCAUGGAGUGACACGUAGGGUGUGCUCUCGCCAUUGCUCUUCAUGAUUGCUGAAUGCUCGGAGUGCAGGAGCAUGUACAAGGCCAACAACCCAAAGUAAAACCAUAGUCAAGACUGCACAAGUAUAUAAGGGCCAGGCUCUGCCCCACGUGGGAGAAAAAUCACACAGGUGAGACAUGCAAAGUUAGCCUGGGAAGGAGGACACAGCACCACGCAGCGCUGCAGGGUGAGCUUUGCAUUGGCUUUGGGGACUAUUUAUGGUUUCAGGGAAGACAUAACCGAGAGGAACGCAGCUCUUAGCAGCUGCACGUCAGCUGAGAUUCCUGCACAGGGAAAUUGUUUCCAUUCACACUUUGGAGUCUGUGGCCAGGUCCUGAUCCUGGUUUAAUGAAAACAAUGCCUGAAAGUCAAACGCAUUUUUCUGACAGGCACAUGGAGGUGCUAUUUUAUCUACAGGGUCUGACAGAUGAUGCUGAGCAUAUGUAAAAAAGUGCACGUGUGUGCUUGUACACACGCACACAUUUGAAGCCCUCAAAUUAGCAUUGGAUGUGAAAUCCACCAUCCAUGAAAGAGUCAGGGUAAGAGAUUCUAGUGUCCCAAAGAGGCACAGAAUAAUGAAGUUAUGGAGAGCUGGGAAAUGUUGGUAUUACUUUAUUAGAGUGUAUUGAAGAAAACUGGUGAGCUAGUGCUCUAAAGGUUGUAUUCAAUAAAAAAUGAUUCCUCUGGUUUCCAUGCAAAGCCACUGAAGUACCAAAAAAUCAAUUGUAGUCAUUGAAUUGGGCCCUAAGAUGGAGCAAAAUGGCCCUGGGAUGGAGCAAAAUUCACAACAGUGCCAGAGGAUGUACAGUCUGUGGCCAGGGAACGCUUCCCCAUUUCACUUCUGGUUUUGACCCACAUGAGCGCAGGACUGAUGCAGCAACCCUCCGCUGCCCCCAGCAUUGCCCACUGGCCCCCCAGCCACAUGGGAAAAGCCUUCUGCUUUCUUCUCUGUGCUAAAACUCUCUCAAAAUGGACAAAUUUGGUGCAAAACCUGCAAUGUGCAUGCAAUGGGCUACUUUUAGUUCAGUUCGGGGAGGUCAUUUACCAAUGAAAUGGAGAAAUGGAGGUGGGGAGCCGGACGCAUCUGCAGAGACUGUGCCUGAACACGUUGCAUGUGAAUAACGUGAGCUGGGUUGAAAUUGGUUUUGAAAUCAGAGUUGAUCAGAAAAGUGAAAAGUAUCUGAGGAGAGAAAUGUUGGAAAAUUCCUGCCAGAAUUGGUUGGCAUUUUCCAGGAGCUCUGUUGUGAAUUCAGUGUCUGUGUCGGUUCUCUCUUGUCUUUAUUGGUGCUCUGAAGCACAGGGUCUGAAGCAAAAGUUAUUGAAUUUUCACUAAACCCUCCCUACAAGCAAAGGCUUUUUCUGCUUUAAUGUUCAAAAAAGUCCAAGUCGCAGCCACCACCUCUAGCAUGUGCCCAUAUCUUUUCUCAUUAUAGGCUGAGGUCCAAAACCAAUACGAAUUAAAUAAAUAUCCCACUGAGAGCUGCACUUUUGAAAACUGCCUUAUUGCAGUGCAGAUGUGCGCUAUCUAAAAUGAGCUUAAACGUUUUAUUUAUAUAUAUAUAUAUAUAUUUAAAUUAAGAAAAUAAAAUAAAACCUAAAUAUUAUCCUGGAAGGAAGUGUUUGCAUUGGUGGAUGUUUGAUUUUCAUUUUUCUCCCAGCAUGCUCGAUCCUUUCAUCCUGUAAUGGUUCUUCUCUAUUAAUCCUUCUCAAAACCCACAGGUAGAGAUGCUUAUUGAUAGAAGGCCAACGUGUAUCUCAGUUUACAAAGGCAUAUUAAAGGAUACAAGUAACAUAUUUCUCUUGAUGUCUUCUUAUUAAUGCAAUUCCACUCAGAACAUUUUGGCAUAAGAGGCAUUGCCAGAUGGAAGAUAAAACUUCACUUUUAUGAGUAUUUUAAGGAAGAAAACAUUUGGUUUGCAUCAGUUCUAAAUGAAUAAUAUUUAUUGCCCUAAUGAUUUGUAUUUUAUAACCCGGAUAACAAAAAGCACUGUCAAUUACUUAGUAUUUUAACAAGGAUUAAAAAAAGGUCUGAUAACAUCAAGUCAGUUUAAAUGAUCAAGUGCUUUUAAUGCUAAACUCUAAUAACCCAAAGCAUGGGCUGUUUACAUAAUAAAAAUAAAUAAACACUGACCACAGCUUGGCUGUAUUUAAGGAUUCUGUCAUUUGUUACUACAAGUCGCAGCUCACAGCAUGCUUUGGGGAGCUCAGUGUGUUACAAUUACAAACACAUCAAACGGGCUCAUUGGGGCCCUGCACACAUCAUGGUGUGCAGAGAUGGGGAGUUGUGGGGCUGCUCCUGGGUGAGUGUGGGGAGCAGAGGGCUGCGUUCUCUACCUCUGAUUUUCCCUGGACAUCAGCAGGUCUUCUGUGCUUACAAAAGAUAAUCUUCCUCUGAUCUUUACCCAUCAAUAGUUUGAUUAUAUUUAUCUCUCUCCUUUACUGUAGAUAAUAAAAUUCCAUGUUUUUCUUCUUAAUUUGCAUGUGUAACUCCUGCUGCUGAAUAUUUUUUAUUUGAUGCCAUUACAGGAAUUAAAUUCCAAAUCAAAUCAGCACAUGGAAGGACCACUCUUAUUUCACUGAGCUCAUUCCAGCAGAAGGGGGAUGAGGAGGCUCUAACGCUUGCAAUAUCGUCCAUGUGUUCUAUUUGGUCCUAGCGUUCAACUGCAGGAAAAGCUGUUGUCUGUGGGCUGUCAGGAGCUGUACCGAGGUGUCCCCAGACUUCUGGAGAUAAAGGAGGACUUGGAAAUACCUGGCUUUUUUUCAUGGUAUUGCAACAGGGAGGAACAAAGUGCAAAUAAUUUGGCGUAAGGCCCAUGGAAGUCAUGCAAGAUGCGCCAUGGAGUGGUACUAUCCAGAGAGAACUUUCUCCCUCCAUAAACAUUUAUCUUGCACUCAAGGCCCACUGGCCUUCAGCAGAGCUGCACUGACCGCCGCCAGCUCCAGACUUGGAGCACACUCAGCAGCUUCGCGCUGCUUGGGUAUUCACAUGCACCAAGCAACUAUCAAACUUCCAGUUUACAGCUGCCUUGUGACUGAAUAUCAGCCUUUCUUUUUUUUUUUUAUCCUGCAUGAAGUCACGUUUCUGCCUUUUAAAUGGGAAGUCACUUCUGCAAACUCUGUUCUUGCUCCAUUCAUGCAAAGGAACCAAGAGGGAAGGAAAAGAAGAUGCGGCCGCUUCGAAACAAAGCAGAACAAAUUAAAGCUCCCAUGUGGCUGUGGUGCAGAUUCCUGCUGUCCUCCUACACAGGCUGCCUGCCCUUGACGGAUGGAUUUUAUUUGUCUGUCUAUAUUGUGGGUGCUUUUUCAGAAGGGCGAAGGGAAGCAAGCUACAAAAAGAAGUGCUGUCGCUGGGAAGUUAGUUAUUAACCGCCGGGCGCCUCCCUGACAUGACGGAGGUGCUGCAGCCUCUCUGAAGUUUGCAUGUCUUUACGGAAGGAUGUCAUGAUGUGACAGACACAGGGAUUUAAGACAGAUCUUUUCCUGCCUAGGGUCCCCUCUGCUUCUGCAGUGUUUACAUGGGAUCGCUGAGCUAUAUUGAGCUUUCAGUACCAAAUGCAUCAGUACUGUCCACGUGCAUCGCCCGUCAAGGAAGAUUAAGUUUGCUCUGCACAGCAGCACAGAAAUACUCCCAGGGCAAAGCAGGACGGCCCCAGCAAAGAUCUUUCUUUUACUUUCCCCACUCUUCUCAUUAAAGCUGUAGGUGGCUGAUGGAAAUAGCUUACCUAGCAAGGAGACAAAUGGCCAAGAGCUGAUGCGCUGCAGGAAUUCACCCCGUUGUGGUUCUGGAUAGAGCAGAGAUGUGGCAGCACUUUGCAAGUGCUUAAUCCACUUUGUUGAAUCAGAAUUAGAUUUAACACAUAGUCAAUCAGGAAUAUAAUUCCCAUUAUUUUGUACUGCAUCUGACCCUGAAGGCAUAAGCAAAACAUCCCAUCUGAGCCCAGAUCCACAGAAGGGUUUUGCGUCACUGGGGGGAAAGCUGGGAUCCCCAUCUCGUGUAGGAGUUGGACUUGGUGGUCCUUCUGGGUCCCUCCCAACCCGGGAUAUGCUCUGACUCUAUCAUCUUGCUGUGGACCCGUCCCACAGUGUCACUGCUGCCCUGCCCACGCUGGGGCACGCAGCCCUCAGGAGCAUCAGGUUCAGGGUGCUGGAAUGCAGAGACACUGCUACUGACAUCCACGUGUCCUCGGUGGGCUCAGGUGAGGAGAAGGCCCUCAGUGUAAAGCUGUGUUACUGCACACCGCUCUGAGGAGCUGAAGAACAGUGAUGUUUUUCUCAGGGCGAGCUCCAUUAUCUGAAGUAAUCUAAUCAGAGCACGUUAAUGAAACUAGGCCUAAAAGACUAACCAAUAAUCAAUACCACAGUGUGUUAAUAUUGUGUACCACAGACCUAACACACCUAUUUUCCAUGCUUUAUUUCAUUUUUCUGUGCUGUUUUCUCUCCUUAUGCAGAACAGCCAGGAAGGAACUAGCAUCUCCUCCAAACUCCAGCAACAUUGGAAAGGUCCCUUUUUGGUAAUAUUUCAGUGAUGAUUCACUAUGAGUAGCCAUAUAAAAAAUUAACACAUGGCAUUUCAGAACAGAGCUAAAAAAAAUAAGGAGACCUGAGUUCAGGGACUGAGCUGUGCUGAGCUGCUGCUCCCACCAUCAGUGCAUUUCCUUCUGUGAGCAGCCCACGAGAGAAGCAGUGUUUUGAAGGGAAGGACGAGCACUUUGCACCAGCAGGAUGUGCAGAGGGAGUGGAGGAGGCAGGGAGACUUUGCUGUUUGAUGCCCGUAAUCCCGUUAUCUGUAGAGGCAUCACAAGAUGGGAGUGGAAGAGAAUGGGAGCAGAUGAAAAGACUUUAUUUUCUUUAUGCCCUUCCUGGAAGGCUAAACCCAUCUUUUUUUUUUCUAUGUCAUUGUGCUUACACAGAGAGCAUGGAUUCCAUGACAGCGAUGACAAGCUCAGAUACAUCAAUCAUGCAGCAGAGAUGGGCACACAAAACUUUGCUCCUCAUCUGAUGACCCGCAGGCACCAGGACCACUAAUCAAAGAAUCCAAAUCAUGCUUUGCCUGUAGUCUGCAUCUGAAAUUCAUUCUUCUAGAGUAAUUUCAUACUUCAGAAGAGUUCCAGUGUUCAAUGUGGGAAGCGUGGGGCAUCUUGGUCCUCAUAGCUGUCUUUGUACUUAAUCAGAGGGAAGAGCUUUUCCUCUACUCCACAUUUACUCUUCACCUCAAGCAGAAGUUCCUCAGCCACAAUUGCAAGCUGGUGAAUUGCACUUGAAAAGGCAAAGAAAACCUAUAUUGCUACAUAUAUAUCUUCAACCCACCACUCCUGGUGCACCUAAAGCUAUAACAGAAAGCUCCCUGUAGGAUGAUGCCAACCAAUAUCAGUGCACUCAGCUCAGUGUGUUGAGUUCUGGAUAAAAACAGAAAUAAUGGAACAAGCCUCCUUGCUUCAGUCACAUAGAAUCAACCCCCCCAAAAAAGCUACCACCAAACUUGACUCAUUUUUUUAAAGAAAAAGGCAAUUUUUCACAUUUUAAUAGCUUUCAUUCCAUGUCUUAAUAAAUGCAUGUUUGUUGAUUUGUGUAAGCAUGAUGUAGGAUUCUGCAAAUGAAUGUAAUCUGCAACAAGGGGAUAGCUAACCACUAGCUAACACUUUUGAAUAAUGAAUCCCUACUGUAUCAGAUGGACGCUAUUCAUAAUAAUUCCUUGCUUUUCUCAUUUUGUCGUGUACAGUAGCGAUUAAUCAAUUUGCAGUGUUAUGUCACCCGCAACAAAUUGCUAGCACCAAGACAAAUUUAUUGCUUUAUGAUAAAAGAACUUGUUUAGGUAGAAAUAAAUUAAAUUUGGGGGUUGUUAUUUGAGUUUGAUGUUUACAUAUAUGACCCAUGCCACACGGGCUGGCGGAGCUAAGGGUAUGCAAUUAUUACUCCAGUGUUCUGAGGAUAGUUCAAAGAGAUGCAGAAGCUAAUGGCAUGUUUGUACAGCUAACUAGUCCUUGAGGACACCAAGUCCCCCUGGGAGCUUUCUGUAACCUGGAUGAGGCUCUUCACAAGAAUUUGGAAUGGUUGUCAGUCCGGAGUUGUGUGUUGGAGGUUUAGUCCAUUGAAGAUGGCUGGGUGCUCUUCAUUCUGGGGGUCUAGAAGACAGGCAGGUCCCAGCACCCCAACAAAUACUGCAUCUAUGGAUCUUCUUGUGAGAGUGGUGCUGCUUUAUGGGAAUGGACUGAGCAGAAAUAGCUUUGCAGGAGCAGCUCUGCUCUCCUAUAACAGGACACAGACUCAGGGAUGCUCCUAGGAUGCUUGGUGGAGAUGCCCAGCCCUGAGGGUGAAAAACCUGCUUAGCUUCCAGCAAUAAGAAUGCCCAGAUCAUUGCCUUUAUUUUAUUUUAUUUUACCGUUAUUUUUUAUUUCCUUCAACCUUUGACAGACUCUGGUCUCCUGCUCCCCCAUCAAUCAGCUUACUCUUCCUCACACUUUCUCCUUCCCACUGCCUCAGAAAUCACUUUGACUCUUUCUCCCUGGGUUAAGUACUGUUACUUCCCUUUCUUUGCCCAUUUCUUCCACUCUUCACUUUUUCUCAUUUCUUGUACUCCUGACCACGCACUUUCUGUAGCACUGGAUAAUGCCUCUCCCCUCCCUGCUGCUCCCCACUAAUGUCCUUGUCAGCCUUCCCCUGAAUCAUCACUGUACCGUCCCAGAAGAUGUUUAACUGAGAUUAUCCCUCAUUGGAAUCACAGAGCUGAGAAAAACCAAAUGUAUCCAAUGCUCCAGUUCAUCAAGGUGACCCCAAAGCCCUGAGAAAAUAGCCCAAAGGGAGAGGAGAGGAG